CGCCGCUAGCGCCUCAAUCGCGCGGAGAAUUGAAUCCCUCCACUUCUACUUUCCAGGUCCCCGGACCCUGGGCUUUGAGGGAAAUCCCUCCGCUCGCACCCCUUACUCCAGUCCUCCCAGGUGGCCAAUCGUUGGUCGGGGGAGGAGGUGCGGAGCUGAGGGUUGGGUAGUAAUUUCUGCCAAUCAGCUCUUAGAGGCCAAGGCGGGGAAACUGCGGGGAGGGGAGGAGAUAGAGGCGCAACAGGUUGUCCUGGAAGUGAGGGAAGAAGUGGCCAGGAGUUGCCCACCCCUGCUUGCGCUACUCUCUGGGCUGCUAUUAAUAGAUCUGGUACUCCUGCAGAGGAGCCGGAACACACUGCUGUGCUGGGUUCACUUCAUCUGCCGGCGACCGAGGGUUACCCAUUUUAGCCACCCCCACCCCUCCGCCCUAGUCAAUGAAAUCCCGCGCAGGGCAUGGCCAUUUCCCAAGGAAACUUGCAAACCCAGGGGAAAGUUAGACGCAAUGCUUUUUGAGUUUGAAGCGAAACCCAGAGCGUUUGAGAAGAAAUUCUGGGGCAUAUUUGCAAAAGGACAGCUGGAAUUAAAAGCCAUAGCUAGAGCAGGUUGCACUCCAGCCCAGCCCCCUUCGGCGCGCCCAGACGCUGCCUUCUCCUCGUGAAUUACAAUGGGCACAGUCCUCCGAUUGUGGCAUCAAAACCAUGGUUUGACCAUAAACACAAAACUUCAUCGAUUUCAGAGCAGCACUGAGGGGUGAGGACAAACAGCUACGGACUCAUUAACCAAGAGGUGGGUUCCAGUAGCGGUUUUGACAUCCACUAAAUUAUGACUUACAGCAAUCCUCUUUAUGUUUUGCAACUAUAGUCUUCUCAACUGUAAAACAAGAGAGUCAGUCUUUGUGGACAAAUUCCCUUUUGGUUUUAAUAAGCUUGUGGCAUAAGACCAAAUUUAUGGACGACCUGCUAUUUUGCUUCCUCAUGUCCCUUGGCCAUUGGCUAUAGGUCUCAUUCUUGCCAGAAACACUACUAAUCAAAAAUGUAUCACUGCUACUAGGUCAGAAAAUGUAGAACUCAAAUUCAUGCCCCUUGCGAACGGCUCAAUUGUUUCUGCCUAAAAUAUACAGAACAACAUUUGUAUUAAUUGACGUGGACAGCUUAAAUACAACAUCUCUAAGUAACUAUUUUUAAAUAAAAAAUAAAAUUGAAAUAAAAGUCUAGAAAUGCAAAACUUAAUUAAACUCAUCAUAAGGAUAGGCGAAUUUUCAAGAUGGAUUUAUUAUUGAGUAACAUAUGGCUUCACAAGCGCCCAGACUUUCCAGACAAAGCUAUGUUCAGAUGGGAGUCUAUGUGGGGAAGAAGAAAGAGCACUGGACUAGAAGCCAGAAAACCUGUUUUGAAACUGGCCUUUCCAUUUGCUUGCUGUAAAAUAUACAGAACAACAUUUGUAUUAAUUGACGUGGACAGCUUAAAUACAACAUCUCUAAGUAACUAUUUUUAAAUAAAAAAUAAAAUUGAAAUAAAAGUCUAGAAAUGCAAAACUUAAUUAAACUCAUCAUAAGGAUAGGCGAAUUUUCAAGAUGGAUUUAUUAUUGAGUAACAUAUGGCUUCACAAGCGCCCAGACUUUCCAGACAAAGCUAUGUUCAGAUGGGAGUCUAUGUGGGGAAGAAGAAAGAGCACUGGACUAGAAGCCAGA
rnacentral:lncRNA from 10 species